rnacentral:rRNA from 1 species
UUACCUCAGUAACGGCGAGUGAAGCGGUAACAGCUCAAAUUUGAAAUCUGGCUCUUUCAGGGUCCGAGUUGUAAUUUGUAGAAGAUGCUUUGGGCAUUGCUCCGGUCUAAGUUCCUUGGAACAGGACGUCAUAGAGGGUGAGAAUCCCGUAUGUGACUGGUGGCAUUUGUCCGUGUAAAGCUCUUUCGACGAGUCGAGUUGUUUGGGAAUGCAGCUCAAAAUGGGUGGUAUAUUUCAUCUAAAGCUAAAUAUUGGCCAGAGACCGAUAGCGCACAAGUAGAGUGAUCGAAAGAUGAAAAGCACUUUGGAAAGAGAGUUAAACAGUACGUGAAAUUGUUGAAAGGGAAGCGCUUGCAACCAGACUUGCAGGUCGUUGAUCAUCCGGGGUUCUCCCCGGUGCACUCGGCGGCUUUCAGGCCAGCAUCGGUUUGAGUGGUGGGAUAAAGGCCUUGGGAAUGUGGCUCCUCUCGGGGAGUGUUAUAGCCCAAGGUGCAAUGCCGCCUAUUCGGACCGAGGACCGCGCUUCGGCUAGGAUGCUGGCGUAAUGGUUGUAAGCGACCCGUCUUGAAACACGGACCAAGGAGUCUAACAUCUAUGCGAGUGUUUGGGUGUCAAACCCAUACGCGUAAUUAACGUGAACGGAGGUAAGAACCCUUAAGGGUGCAUUAUCGACCGAUCCUGAUGUCUUCGGAUGGAUUUGAGUAAGAGCAUAGCUGUUGGGACCCGAAAGAUGGUGAACUAUGCCUGAAUAGGGUGAAGCCAGAGGAAACUCUGGUGGAGGCUCGCAGCGGUUCUGACGUGCAAAUCGAUCGUCAAAUUUGGGU